CAGGGAUUACCUCAGUAACGGCGAGUGAAGCGGUAGCAGCUCAAAUUUGAAAGCUAGCUCUUCUAGGGUUCGCAUUGUAAUUUGUAGAAGAUGCUUCGGGUGUGGCCCCGGUCUAAGUUCCUUGGAACAGGACGUCAUAGAGGGUGAGAAUCCCGUAUGUGACUGGGUGCUUUCGCUCAUGUGAAGCUCUUUCGACGAGUCGAGUUGUUUGGGAAUGCAGCUCAAAAUGGGUGGUAAAUUUCAUCUAAAGCUAAAUAUUGGCCAGAGACCGAUAGCGCACAAGUAGAGUGAUCGAAAGAUGAAAAGCACUUUGGAAAGAGAGUUAAACAGUACGUGAAAUUGUUGAAAGGGAAGCGCUUGCAACCAGACUUGCGCGCUGAUGAUCAUCCGGGCUUCUGCCCGGUGCACUCGUCUGCGCUCAGGCCAGCAUCGGUUUCGGUGGUGGGAUAAAGGCCUUGGGAAUGUAGCUUCUUUCGGGGAGUGUUAUAGCCCUCGGUGCAAUGCCGCCUACCGGGACCGAGGACCGCGCUUCGGCUAGGAUGCUGGCGUAAUGGUUGUAAGCGACCCGUCUUGAAACACGGACCAAGGAGUCUAACAUCUAUGCGAGUGUUUGGGUGUCAAACCCAUACGCGUAAUGAAAGUGAACGGAGGUGAGAACCCUUAAGGGUGCAUCAUCGACCGAUCCUGAUGUCUUCGGAUGGAUUUGAGUAAGAGCAUAGCUGUUGGGACCCGAAAGAUGGUGAACUAUGCGUGAAUAGGGUGAAGCCAGAGGAAACUCUGGUGGAGGCUCGCAGCGGUUCUGACGUGCAAAUCGAUCGUCAAAUUUGCGUAUAGGGCGAAAGACU
rnacentral:rRNA from 1 species